AGGCCUGAAGAGAGAGGCAGGGUCUGAUCUGCAGCCUCAGUGGCAGCUGCUGAUCAGCCAUGGCCUCUCUGUUUCUCUCCG
rfam:Myotis brandtii contig265664, whole genome shotgun sequence.